AUUAUACCGUGAAACUGCGAAUGGCUCAUUAAAUCAGUUAUCGUUUAUUUGAUAGUACCUUACUACUUGGAUAACCGUGGUAAUUCUAGAGCUAAUACAUGCUGAAAACCCCAACUUCGGGAGGGGUGUAUUUAUUAGAUAAAAAACCAACGCCCUUCGGGGCUUCUUGGUGAUUCAUGAUAACUUUACGGAUCGCAUGGCCUUGCGCCGGCGACGGUUCAUUCAAAUUUCUGCCCUAUCAACUUUCGAUGGUAAGGUAUUGGCUUACCAUGGUUUCAACGGGUAACGGGGAAUUAGGGUUCGAUUCCGGAGAGGGAGCCUGAGAAACGGCUACCACAUCCAAGGAAGGCAGCAGGCGCGCAAAUUACCCAAUCCCGACACGGGGAGGUAGUGACAAUAAAUACUGAUACAGGGCUCUUUUGGGUCUUGUAAUUGGAAUGAGUACAAUUUAAACCUCUUAACGAGGAACAAUUGGAGGGCAAGUCUGGUGCCAGCAGCCGCGGUAAUUCCAGCUCCAAUAGCGUAUAUUAAAGUUGUUGCAGUUAAAAAGCUCGUAGUUGAACCUUGGGUCUGGCUGGCAGGUCCGCCUCACCGCGUGUACUUGUCCGGCCGGGCCUUCCUUCUGGAGAACCUCAUGCCCUUCACUGGGCGUGUUGGGGACCAGGACUUUUACUUUGAAAAAAUUAGAGUGUUCAAAGCAGGCCUUUGCUCGAAUACGUUAGCAUGGAAUAAUAGAAUAGGACGUGCGGUCCUAUUUUGUUGGUUUCUAGGACCGCCGUAAUGAUUAAUAGGGACAGUCGGGGGCAUCAGUAUUCAAUUGUCAGAGGUGAAAUUCUUGGAUUUAUUGAAGACUAACUACUGCGAAAGCAUUUGCCAAGGAUGUUUUCAUUAAUCAGUGAACGAAAGUUAGGGGAUCGAAGACGAUCAGAUACCGUCGUAGUCUUAACCGUAAACUAUGCCGACUAGGGAUCGGGCGAUGUUCUUUUUCUGACUCGCUCGGCACCUUACGAGAAAUCAAAGUUUUUGGGU
rnacentral:rRNA from 1 species